rnacentral:rRNA from 1 species
GACGAACCGAGCGAACGUUAUUCGGAAUCACUGGGCUUAAAGGGUGCGUAGGCGGGCCCGUCAGUCAGGGGUGAAAUCCCACGGCCCAACCGUGGAAGUGCCUCUGAUACUGCGGGCCUGGAGGGGGAUAGGGGCGUGCGGAACUUCCGGUGGAGCGGUGAAAUGCGUAGAUAUCGGAAGGAACACCGGUGGCGAAAGCGGCGCGCUGGAUCCCUACUGACGCUGAGGCGCGAAAGCUAGGGGAGCAAACAGG